rnacentral:rRNA from 1 species
UACGUAGGGGGCGAGCGUUGUCCGGAGUUACUGGGCGUAAAGCGCACGCAGGCGGUCUGCUAAGUUUGGAGUGACAGUUGGUGGCUUAACUGCCAAAGUGCUUCGAAAACUGACAGACUUGAGGGCUUCAGAGGGACACGGAAUUCCGGGUGGAGUGGUGAAAUUCGUAGAUAUCGGGAGGAACACCAGUGGCGAAGGCGGCGACCUGGACGGACACUGACGCUGAGACGCGAAAGCGUGGGGAGCAAACAGG